CAGCACUUUGUGUAUGACAGCUCUUUGUAUCUAUGUUGGCAUUUUAGCUUGUUUAUUAUAAAUCAGUGGGCACACUAGGUGGCAUCCUGUGCACAGUGGAAACAUUUAUGGUAACUAAAUUGAGAAACCUGGGCAGACUGAAUCUUUAACAUGUAAAUCAACGGCACACCUAUAUAAAAAUAACCAUCCUUAUUUAAUGACAAAAAAGUACAACUCAUUU